UCCUAUAAAAGGCGCGUAGCGGAGAACGGAAGACACAUUCCCUUCCAACACUAGUCAAGGUUUGAGAACCGUGUGCUCCGCAGAAGCAACAUGAAGGUCCUGGUACUUCUGGCCGUUCUCGCCAUGUUCGCCGUGGCUUACACUGUGGCGGCGCCGCAGUACUACGUCGGCGACGCCCUGCAUUACUACGGCCACUACGCGUCGCCGUUGGGAUACUACCACUCCUAUUACCCGUACUACUACUACGGGCGCUAGAGGGCGUGGAACUCCCGCUGCCCUUGGGAUGGCGUUCUGAAUUAUCACCCCGUCCCGAGAGCACAGCACUGCGGGAGCCACACCACAACCAUCUGUACUCUGAUUCUUUCCGUCCUUCACCUCCAAAGCUACAAGAACCCCAGCUCUGAUCACCCUGACUACAGCUCCCUCGAUUACCACAAACUAUUGCUCACUGCUCGACUAUUGGCUUCUGAAAUAAAAUGUUUCCUAAACACUA